CAGGCCCAAGGGAAUAUUCAAUCAAGGAGAAAAAGGCCAAGUCAUUACUGGAACCCUAUGUUCCGUUUGUCAAAUGUGUGCGACCCUUCUGAUAAGUCACCAGAGGUGAUGAGGGAGAGAGAGAAAGAAAGCAAAUUACAACUGUAAAGAGUCUCUGAACAGUGAAAGAUCAAAACAGACAGUCUCUGGCUUUACUGGAUGAGUCACCAUUGCAGCCCGACCGCAAAAACAAGCGUGGCUUCUGUACUUAGCAGCAGUCUUCCUGUCUGGAAAGGAAACAUUGCUCAGAUUGGAGAUACUGGCCAUUUUAUAGACUUCAAAGCAACUUAGGCCACUGAACUGUCAGGCGGGAAAACAGCAGUGCUCAGGCUCAGUGGAGAAACUCAUUAGCUCUAUUUAAUUAGAGAAAGCAAACACUUCCAAACCUACUUUAAUGUCAGCCUACUUCCCACCACCUCAUUAAUAUAUUUUUAAAAACUUUCACCUUUAAUGUGGCAAUGAUUUUCUUAAUUCUUUCAGUAUUAGAACUCCAUAGAUUUAAGGCAUUUAGCUAGAGAACAAGUAGAAAGAUUAUACAAGUGAUAGUCAUGAUUCUUUGAACCAGUAUCUUUUGGUAUUACUAAAUAAGAGAUUUUUAAACUCGAUUUUCAUGUAUAACCUAGAUGAAGGUUGUUGUUCUGGUUUAAUCCUAUAAUAUUGCAAUUUUUAGGAUCAUCUUUUUUUUAUAUAGGAUUUUACAUUUUCCAAAAGGUUUUACAUCCAUCAGAUGAUUCCCACAAAACACUGAAACAAAGUAGGAGCCGCUGGUAAUAUCUCCAUUCUCCAGAUGAGGAAGUCUGGGCUGAGAGCAGUCAAAGGAUUUCUCCGAAUGACAUCUAUAUGCUUCAAGGUUGACAAUGAGGACACAAGUUUCAGGCCCAAGUGGCUUGAGAUACUAGGAUGUCUUCCAUUUGGAAGCCCCUUUGCUUCUAAGAAGUUCCAGAGACCAUCCCAGGCCCACAGAGUUAUAAGGAUUCAUCUGGGCACUGAAGACAUUUGGGACCUCAGUGAAGUUUCUCCGAGGCCAGAUGGUCACAUUGAUUUUCUGGAAUCAUUUUGAAUAAAAAUGAGCGAGGUGGUGAACACAAUGCAAGGCUCUCCACGUACUGUCUGGUAUUGUUCAACCAGCUCCACGACUCCCUGAGGGCAGAGAUGAGCAGAUGUUAAUGGAUAAAGCCAGGUGGGAUGAUGUUAUAACAUUUCUCCUACAGCCCCAAAUCUCCCAACUCCUGCAUGUGUGACCUGAGUAAGACUCGGUGCAAGAAGACAUCAGUGUUCCCAUCUGUGAAAUGAAGGAAUUGACCCCCGAGGAUCUUCCAUUUCUGACAGUGCUUUGGAUUUCAUUGGUUUUGUCACAGGUACCCCCCAAAAGCCUCCAUCUUUGGAUAAGUGAUUAAAACUGCUGAGUAAUUUUCAAUUAAUAAAAGUUCAGUGCUGGCUCUCAGAGGCUGUUUAAUUACCAUAGUCCCUUGAGGAGUUUUCCUUCAAGUCACACCAUCGUUGCUGAUUAUCCUAUAUUUUGGCAACUCUUGGGCCAUGGGCACUUCCUAGUCCAAUCAGCUUUGGCCAGAGGCAGAUUCUACUAUACAGACAUGGUCAUCUCCAAAUUAGAGGGAACCCCCAGCUCCAAGUGAAGGGUACAUGUGGACGGUUUCCUUUAUAAAGGGAUGUGUGAUGGUGGGACAGGCAUGUCUGCUGCAGUAGGAAUGUUUCAUUUGGUAGAGAGGAAACAUAAGAAAAAGUAGGAUUGGUACCCACCAUUAUUAUUAAAAAGUAGGAUUGCUACCAGCCAUUAUUAUUAAAAAGUAGGAUUGCUACCCGCCAUUACUAUUAAAAAGUAGGAUUCCUACCCGCCAUUAUUAUUAAAAAGUAGGAUUGGUACCCGCCAUUAUUAUUAAAAAGUAGGAUUGCUACCCAACAUUAUUAUUAAAAAGUAGGAUUGCUACCCUCCAUUAUUAUUAAAAAGUAGGAUUGCUACCCUCCAUUAUUAUUAAAAAGUAGGAUUGCUACCUGCCAUUAUUAUUAAAAAGUAGGAUUGCUACCUGCCAUUAUUAUUAAAAAGUAGGAUUGCUACCUGCCAUUAUUAUUAAAAAGUAGGAUUGCUACCCGCCAUUAUUAUUAAAAAGUAGGAUUGCUACCCGCCAUUAUUAUUAAAAAGUAGGACUGCUACCCGCCGUUAUUUGCACAGCUACCUUAUGAAAGUAGUUUC
rnacentral:lncRNA from 1 species